rnacentral:rRNA from 1 species
GACGAACGCUGGCGGCGUGCUUAACACAUGCAAGUCGAACGGAAAGGCCCUGCUUUUGUGGGGUGCUCGAGUGGCGAACGGGUGAGUAACACGUGAGUAACCUGCCCUUGACUUUGGGAUAACUUCAGGAAACUGGGGCUAAUACCGGAUAGGAGCUCCUGCUGCAUGGUGGGGGUUGGAAGGUUUCGGCGGUUGGGGAUGGACUCGCGGCUUAUCAGCUUGUUGGUGGGGUAGUGGCUUACCAAGGCUUUGACGGGUAGCCGGCCUGAGAGGGUGACUGGCCACAUUGGGACUGAGAUACGGCCCAGACUCCUACGGGAGGCAGCAGUGGGGAAUAUUGCACAAUGGGCGGAAGCCUGAUGCAGCAACGCCGCGUGCGGGAUGACGGCCUUCGGGUUGUAAACCGCUUUCGCCUGUGACGAAGCGUGAGUGACGGUAAUGGGUAAAGAAGCACCGGCUAACUACGUG